GGUCAGAGGAGGAAGGUCUGAAGAGGAGGGUCAGAGGAGGAAGGUCUGAAGAGGAAGGUCAGAGGAGGAAGGUCUGAAGAGGAAGGUCAGAGGAGGAAGGUCAGAGGAGGAAGGUCAGAGGAGGAAGGUCUGAAGAGGAAGGUCAGAGGAGGAAGGUCAGAGGAGGAAGGUCUGAAGAGGAAGGUCAGAGGAGGAAGGUCUGAAGAGGAAGGUCAGAGGAGGAAGGUCUGAAGAGGAAGGUCAGAGGAGGAAGGUCUGAGGAGGAAGGUCAGAGGAGGAAGGUCUGAAGAGGAAGGUCAGAGGAGGAAGGUCUGAAGAGGAGGGUCAGAGGAGGAAGGUCAGAGGAGGAAGGUCUGAAGAGGAAGGUCAGAGGAGGAAGGUCUGAAGAGGAAGGUCUGAAGAGGAAGGUCAGAGGAGGAAGGUCUGAAGAGGAAGGUCUGAAGAGGAAGGUCAGAGGAGGAAGGUCUGAAGAGGAGGGUCAGAGGAGGAAGGUCUGAAGAGGAAGGUCAGAGGAGGAAGGUCAGAGGAGGAAGGUCUGAAGAGGAAGGUCUGAAGAGGAAGGUCUGAAGAGGAAGGUCAGAGGAGGAAGGUCUGAAGAGGAAGGUCUGAAGAGGAAGGUCUGAAGAGGAAGGUCAGAGGAGGAAGGUCUGAAGAGGAAGGUCAGAGGAGGAAGGUCAGAGGAGGAAGGUCUGAAGAGGAAGGUCAGAGGAGGAAGG